GCUUACGGCCACACCGGCCUGAGUACGCCUGAUCUCGCUGAUCUCGGAAGCUAAGCAGGGUCGGGCCUGGUUAGUACUUGGAUGGGAGACCGCCUGGGAAUACCAGGUGCUGUAAGCU
rnacentral:rRNA from 1 species